UACGUAGGGUGCGAGCGUUUAAUCGGAAUUACUGGGCGUAAAGCGUGCGCAGGCGGUUCGUCGUGUCUCGUGUGAAAGCCCCGGGCUCAACCUGGGAAUGGCAUGGGAAACUGGCGAACUGGAGUGUGGCAGAGGGGGGGUGGAAUUCCGCGUGUAGCAGUGAAAUGCGUAGAGAUGCGGAGGAACACCGAUGGCGAAGGCAGCCCCCUGGGCUGACACUGACGCUCAGGCACGAAAGCGUGGGGAGCAAACAGG
rnacentral:rRNA from 1 species